GGGUGCGUAGCUUAGCGGACAAGAGCGUAGCAAACCUGCAUUGGUGCAUAAUCCAGAUGCACUUGGUACAAAACCGACGCUGUGCAUUGAGGUGGUCCAGAUUGAAAACCCAACACUCGAACAGGGACACUCCCCCCGCAACCAGCCUGGCCUUGUUCGAGUGUUGGGUUUUCAACCCGGACCACCUGCCAGUAUGUUGCUUUGUACUUAAAUGUCAGGCCUAUUACCUGGGUUCGAAUCCCAGCGCAUCCA